GCGAGCCACAUGUAGAGAAAUUUGCACGUGUGGUUCUGGCUGGGGACCCCGGUAUACCGCAC
rfam:Lupinus angustifolius cultivar Tanjil contig_2978, whole genome shotgun sequence.